GUAGUCAUAUAGGAAAUCACAUGUUUUAUUCGUGUCAUCUAUGACUUGGGAUUUCCCACAAAAAAGCCGAUACAAGUUAGGAUAUUAGAGGAAAACUGAUAUGUUACACCCCCGCCACUCAUACAACUGUGAAUCUACGACUCUUCCAUUGGGUUUAUUGUUGCCAGGGAUGUGUCUUUGUCACCGCCUAGGCCGGCCCAGGAACCGACAAAAAUGGGGUUCAUUCUGCUCAUGGUAAACUCAUCAUCGUUGAUGAAGUGUGGCAUGGGGCCAUAGGAGAACUUGCCAUCGUCGAGCCAAGAAAUCAAUGAUAACACACCCUUUUUGUGCACAAUAGUGGCAGACGCUCCCUUGAUUAAGCUAAUAAUGUCGGAAGCAAAAGGAGGCUCCUGAAGCGAGGUAUACAUGGUACUAGUGGCAGGGGCGCGCCCUUGGCGCGCCUCUUGAGCGUUCAUGUGCGUGUUUGUAUACUUAUAUUUAGGAACGGAGAGUGUACGAGAUAUUUAGCGAUAACAUAGAAUUCUGAAUUUGUAUGCUUCUUGUUCGUACAAAGAAUUGUUAAUUAUGUUUGUAUAUUGUGUGGCAUUAAGAACAUAUUUUCUUUUAGUAUAUGUAACUAACAUAGUCUUAUUAGUUUUAAAGGUCAAUGUGAAGAUAUGAAAAAAAGUAAUGCUUAGUAUUAUAUUUGUAGAAGCGAUUAAAUUGAAUGAAGAGGUAUUAUUAGUAGAAGUGCGGACAUAUUUGUAUUAAACAUGCAAAGGAAACAUACUUGGUCUUAUUAAUACAAAUAGCAAAGAAAGUGCUUCGGGCAGUGAACACUUAUAAGACGUCUAAUCGGAUGUUGCCCAUUCAUGGUGGCAAAUGCAACAAUACGAAGUAGAGUCUGCUCCAUUGCGUCAUCGGUGCGGUGUGCUGUCAUCGGAUUGGCAAAAUAAGUCAUACGUUGAUGUGGAAAAACUAUAGGCGAGCUUCAUGAUGGCUUCAGUUGACGGUUCCUGCUUGGUUGUGUGAAUGCAUAAAUGUAUUAGUAAAUUAUAGUUCUGGUAGAUAUUAUACUUAUCAAAAAAAUUGAAGUAAGAAAAGUUUUUUUGUAUGCCAUACCUUAUAUAUAGGGUGGUUAUAAUGCCCUGGUGCCUACAGAGCUAGUAGGUCAUUGAUGUUUGCUGCAGUUCGCUGCACAUCAAUCAGUAUGCUUGCUGUCCUGACGGUCACAUCUGGAUCUUUGUGAAGGAUCAUAGUGGAAGCUACAACUGAAUCCACAACCUUUACUAUGAGGUUCUUUGUCAUCGUCGUAGGGUCGUUGCACCAGGCGAUGCAUCGAUAUGACUCGGAUGUCAGCAGGAGCUCUGCGUUUCUAUCCGGGAGCUCGAUGUAGCAGAAUUGUGCAAGCAAGAGUUUGAUCAGUUUCUCUAUGCAUAAGUGUGCUGGAAUCCUAUUGAUCAUCAACUGUACGCAGUUGUUGACUGUACUUUUGAUAGAGCCUGUAUCAGGGCUCCAUGGGAUAAGACCUUGGAUGUCUUUGGAAUGCGUUGAUAGUAUCAGUUUUUGUAUGGCUUCACCUGUUGUGUUGUUU
rnacentral:lncRNA from 1 species